rnacentral:rRNA from 1 species
CUGGGAGCGGCCGACGUCAGAUUAGCUAGUUGGUGGGGUAAAAGCCUACCAAGGCGACGAUCUGUAGCUGGUCUGAGAGGACGAUCAGCCACACUGGAACUGAGACACGGUCCAGACUCCUACGGGAGGCAGCAGUGGGGAAUUUUGGACAAUGGGCGCAAGCCUGAUCCAGCCAUGCCGCGUGAGUGAAGAAGGCCUUCGGGUUGUAAAGCUCUUUCGGUGAAGACGAAACGGUUAGCGUUAAUAACGCUGACUAAUGACGGUACUCACAGAAGAAGCACCGGCUAACUACGUG